rnacentral:misc_RNA from 1 species
AAGUCGUAACAAGGUUUCCGUAGGUGAACCUGCGGAAGGAUCAUUACAUAAUAUACGUGUGGAGAAUCUGAUUCUCCAAUACACACAUAUAACCCUUGUGAACCGUAAUUGACACCUUUGGUGUAUUAACUUACGCCAAACGGUACACCAAAAACACUCAUUUUAACCAACUAGACUUAUACAAAAUAAUAUAAUUAUUAUACAACUUUUAACAAUGGAUCUCUUGGCUCUU